GGGGGCGACAGGCUUCGACGGGUUUGGCGAGGGUACUGUUGCGUGCCCAGGUUCUCAGUCACCUGGUAAAUCAACUGGGACUAUACACAAGCCAAUUCUGAACUGGCUCUGGCUGCGUAAGCUUCGGGAGACCACAAAGCCUAGUCUACGCACGUAGUAGCGGUAUCGGAGUCAUGCUCGGACCGGGGUUCAAUUCCCCGCGCCUCCAUGA
rnacentral:tmRNA from 1 species